rnacentral:lncRNA from 1 species
AUGGAGAGAGACAUUUCUCUUCAUCUCUUGGUCUUCUCUUUUGUCUCUAUUUCUGUACCCCCUGUCUCUCUCUCUCUCUCUCUCUCUCUCUCUCUCUCUCUCUCUCUCUCUCUCUCUCCCCCCUUGUCCGUCUCACCCCUGCUCUUUGUCUCCUUGUCUCUCGCUCUCUCAAUGUCUCCUUCUCUCCCCCUCUCUCCAUAUUUCUUUCCCUGUCUCUCCCUCUCUCCAUGUCUCUCACCCUGUCUCUCUCCCCUUGUCUGUCUCACCCCCACUCUGUUUCCCUGUCUCUCCCUCUCCCUGACUCUUCCUCUCUCUAUGUCUCUCCCCCCAUCUCUUUUGCCCUCUCUCCCUUUCUCCGUCUCCCCCGUCUCUCUCUCCCUCUUUCUCCAUCUCUCCCUCUCUGUCUCUCUCCCCUUGUCUGUCUCACCCCCACUGUUUCCCUGUCUCUCCCUCUCCCUGACUCUUCCUCUCUAUGUCUCUCUCUCCCACUCUCUCUCCAUGUCUCUCCCCCCAUCUCUUUUGCCCUCUCUCCCUUUCUCCGUCUCCCCCGUCUCUCUCUCCCUCUUUCUCCAUCUCUCCCUCUCUGUCUCUCUCCCCUUGUCUGUCUCACCCCCACUCUGUUUCCCUGUCUCUCCCUCUCCCUCACUCUUCCUCUCUCUAUGUCUCUCCCCCCAUCUCUUUUGCUCUCUCCCUCUUUCUCCCUGUCUCUCCCUCUCUCUCUAUGUCUCUCUCCCUUCCUCUCCCCUUGUCUGUCUCUCCCUGACUCUUCCUCUCUCUAUGUCUCUCUCUCUCCCGCUCUCUCUCCAUGUCUCUCCCCCCAUCUCUUUUGCUCUCUCCCUCUUUCUCCCUGUCUCUCCCUCUCUCCCUAUGUCUCUCCCUCUCCCUCCCCUUCCUCCCUCUCCCUCUCCCUCUCUCCCUCUCCCUCUCCCUCAAGCACUAUCACAUGCUCCAGUCAAUUCUUCAAGCGCCUUUUGCAUAAACCGAGCAGGGCUGCGAACUGUGUCACUUCUCAGGGAAGCCGUAGUUAAAACCUUGGCCGACUGA